rnacentral:rRNA from 1 species
AGUGAACGCUGGCGGCAGGCCUAACACAUGCAAGUCGAACGGCAGCACAAGAGAGCUUGCUCUCUGGGUGGCGAGUGGCGGACGGGUGAGGAAUGCAUCGGAAUCUGCCCAUUUGUGGGGGAUAACCUCGGGAAACCGGGACUAAUACCGCAUACGACCUACGGGUGAAAGCAGGGGAUCUUCGGACCUUGCGCAGAUGGAUGAGCCGAUGCCGGAUUAGCUAGUUGGAGGGGUAAAGGCCCACCAAGGCGACGCUCCGUAGCUGGUCUGAGAGGAUGAUGAGGCAAAAUGGGAAUGAGAAAAGGGCCAGAAUCCUAAGGGAGGGAGGAGGGGGGAAUAAUGGGAAAAGGGCGCAAGCCUGAUCCAGCCAUGCCGCGUGUGUGAAGAAGGCCUUCGGGUUGUAAAGCACUUUUGUUGGGAAAGAAAAGCAGCCGGUUAAUACCCGGUUGUCAUGACGGUACCCAAAGAAUAAGCACCGGCUAACUUCGUG